CAUUUAGGUGCAGCGUUGCGUGGUUCUUGUUGGAGGUAGAGCACUGGAUGGUCUAGGGGGCUUAUCGGCUUACCGAAAUCAGCCAAACUCCGAAUGCUGGCAAGUGUAGCGUGGCAGUGAGACGGCGGGGGAUAAGCUUCGUCGUCGAGAGGGAAACAGCCCAGAUCAUCAGCUAAGGCCCCUAAGUGGUGACUCAGUGGGAAAGGAUGUGGAGUUGCGUAGACAACCAGGAGGUUGGCUUGGAAGCAGCCAUCCUUGAAAGAGUGCGUAAUAGCUCACUGGUCAAGUGAUUCCGCGCCGAUAAUGUAGCGGGGCUUAAGUUAUCCGCCGAAGCU
rnacentral:rRNA from 1 species